AACGCGAAGAACCUUACCUGGGUUUGACAUGCAUCUCUAAGUCGGUGAAAGCCGAUGAGUGUAGCAAUACACAAUUUGCACAGGUGCUGCAUGGCUGUCGUCAGCUCGUGUCGUGAGAUGUUCGGUUAAGUCCGGCAACGAGCGCAACCCUCGUCCUUAGUUGCCAGCGGGUAAAGCCGGGGACUCUAGGGAGACAAACCUCUUUAUAGAGGUGGGAAGGUGGGGACGACGUCAAGUCAGUAUGGCCCUUACACCCAGGGCUGCACACGUGCUACAAUGCCUGGUACAGAGGGACGCAAAACCGCGAGGUGGAGCAAAUCCUCAAAACCAGGCCCAGUUCAGAUUGGAGUCUGCAACUCGACUCCAUGAAGCCGGAAUCGCUAGUAAAGGCGUAUCAGCAACGGCGCCUUGAAUACGUUCCCGGGCCUUGUACACACCGCUAGUC
rnacentral:rRNA from 1 species